CCGUGCUAGGCGGGGGGCUCGGGGUCCCCUGAACCGGAAACCCUCGAUACGCCGGGUCGAUUACCCGCUUGCGGCCCUGGAAGGACCGGGCAGCCCCCGGAAAGCAGCGUCGAUGGUCGGGUCCUGCGCGACUCGGAGCCGUGAAUCCGGUCAGGCCCGGAAGGGAGCAGCCGUAAGCGGUGUACCGGGAGUGCCGCAGGGUCACCCGGCCGGAGCCGGCUACCGGGAAGGCGACGGCCAUUUCAGGGUCCAGAGCGGGGCGCACGG
rnacentral:SRP_RNA from 1 species